rnacentral:rRNA from 1 species
GAUGAACGCUAGCUACAGGCUUAACACAUGCAAGUCGAGGGGAAACGAUAUUGGAAGCUUGCUUCCGAUAGGCGUCGACCGGCGCACGGGUGAGUAACGCGUAUCCAACCGUGCCCAUCACUUGGGGAUAACCUUGCGAAAGUAAGACUAAUACCCAAUGACGUCUCUAGAAGACAUCUGAAAGAGAUUAAAGAUUUAUCGGUGAUGGAUGGGGAUGCGUCUGAUUAGCUUGUUGGCGGGGUAACGGCCCACCAAGGCGACGAGUCAGUAGGGGUUCUGAGAGGAAGGUCCCCCCACAUUGGAACUGAGACACGGUCCAAACUCCUACGGGA